GCUGCAGCGUUCGGCUGUUUCGAAAAGAGUUGUCGUAAGAGUUUCCCUGUUCCCUGUGCAAAAUUAGUCUCACAAUGCCAGUGGGAUACUGAUAACUUUGUAAUGUUGUGCCCUCUCCAUGCUUCUUCUAAGUUGCCUAAUGAAAAGUCAGAAUCUCAAGGAAGCAAAAAACAAGUGUUUUAAGAGGACAUUUGCCAGUUCACAACAAGGAAUAUCCUACA